rnacentral:rRNA from 1 species
UAGCCUGAGAAAUAGCUACCACUUCUACGGAGGGCAGCAGGCGCGCAAAUUGCCCAAUGUCAAAAAAAAACGAUGAGGCAGCGAAAAGAAAUAGAGCCGGCAGUGCCAAUGGCAUUGCCGUUUUCAAUGGGGGAUAUCUAAACCCAUCCAAAAUCGAGUAUCAAUUGGAGGACAAGUCUGGUGCCAGCACCCGCGGUAAUUCCAGCUCCAAAAGCGUAUAUUAAUGCUGUUGCUGUUAAAGG